rnacentral:lncRNA from 1 species
UUGGAUUAUUUUUACUUUAUCUAUAGAGAAUAUAAUUAAUUCUAUUUUAGGGUCUUCUUCUUUUAUAUUUUCUAAUUUUUGUGUAAUUUUUUCACUUCCUUUUAUCCAUUCCGUUGUUUUUCGUUUUUUAUUGUUUACUCUUUUUGCUCCUAUUUUUUGUUUACAUGGUGAUGUGAACCACCAGUGUGUUUUUGUUAUUAUAUGUGGGUAUAAUUUUUCUAAAAAUGGCAUUCCUAAUAGCAUAUCUUUUGUAGUCAAUUCAAAGUUAUAUAUUUCUUCUAUAGUUAAUAUUUUAUCCCAUAUUUGUAUUUUUAUAUUUUUUGCCUUAUAUGUGAUCAUGCUUC